UAAGCAUAUCAAUAAGCGGAGGAAAAGAAACUAACAAGGAUUCCCUUAGUAACUGCGAGUGAAAUGGGAAGAGCUCAAAUUUAAAAUCUGAUGGUCUUUAUGGCUGUCCGAGUUGUAAUCUAGAGAAGUGCUACCUGCGCUGGACCAUGUACAAGUCUCCUGGAAUGGAGCAUCAUAGAGGGUGAGAAUCCCGUCUUUGACAUGGACUUACCAGGGCUUUGUGGUGUGCUCUCAAAGAGUCGAGUUGUUUGGGAAUGCAGCUCAAAAUGGGUGGUAAAUGCCAUCUAAAGCUAAAUAUUGGCGAGAGACCGAUAGUGAACAAGUACCGUGAGGGAAAGAUGAAAAGAACUUUGGAAAGAGAGUUAAACAGUACGUGAAAUUGCUGAAAGGGAAACGCUUGAAGUCAGUCGCAUUGGCUGGAAAUCAACCACUGCUUUUGCUUGGUGUACUUUCUGGCUGAUGGGUCAGCAUCAAUUUUGAUCGUUGGAUAAAGGCUUUGGGAAUGUGGCAUCUUAGGAUGUGUUAUAGCCCUUGGUCGCAUACAGCGGUUGGGAUUGAGGAACUCAGCACGCCGCAAGGCUCGGGUUUUUACCACGUUUAUGUGCUUAGGAUGCUGGCAUAAUGGCUUUAAUCGACCCGUCUUGAAACACGGACCAAGGAGUCUAACAUGCAUGCAAGUGUUUGGGUGGAAAACCCAUGCGCGCAAUGAAAGUGAAAAGUUAAGAUCCCUGUCAUGGGGAGCAUUGACGCUCGGACCAGACCUUUUGUGACGGAUCCGCGGUAGAGCAUGUAUGUUGGGACCCGAAAGAUGGUGAACUAUGCCUGAAUAGGGUGAAGCCAGAGGAAACUCUGGUGGAGGCUCGUAGCGAUUCUGACGUGCAAAUCGAUCGUCAAAUUUGGGUAUAGGGGCGAAAGACUAAUCGAACCAUCUAGUAGCUGGUUCCUGCC
rnacentral:rRNA from 1 species